ACAAACUUUGAAUCUGUACAGGGGAUGAAGACCGCUGCAUUACAGUAACAGCGACUUCUGGAGGUCAGUCAGUUUCUUUAAAAGGCUGUGCAUCUAAAUCUAUUUGUGGCACCACAGCAUCAGUUAGUGAUUUACAGAGCAUCUCAUGUUGUGAGGGGAACCUGUGUAACAGUGCUCAGAGUGUCUCCCAGAGCUUCCUGUUCCUCUGCUGUUCUCUGCUCUCCUACUUCCUGCUGCACUGAA